rnacentral:rRNA from 1 species
UACGGAGGAGGCAAGCGUUAUCCGGAAUUAUUGGGCGUAAAGCGUCCGCAGGUGGCACCUCAAGUCUGCUGUCAAAGACCGGGGCUUAACCCCAGAAAGGCAGUGGAAACUGAAGUGCUAGAGUGCAGUAGGGGUAGAGGGAAUUCCCGGUGUAGCGGUGAAAUGCGUAGAGAUCGGGAAGAACAUCGGUGGCGAAAGCGGGUUGCUGGGCUGACACUGACGCUGAAGCGCGAAAGCUAGGGGAGCGAACGGG